rnacentral:misc_RNA from 1 species
UUUCCGUAGGUGAACCUGCGGAAGGAUCAUUAACGAGUUAGGGUCUUCUAGGCCCGACCUCCCAACCCUAUGUUUAUUGAACCUCUGUUGCUUCGGCAGACCCGCCUCACGGCCGCCGGAGGACCGCUGCAAGGCGUCCUCUGGCCAGCGUCCGCCGAUGGCCAACCACUUAAACUCUGAAUGAAUCGUGUCAUAUGUCUAAGUCUAUGUUUAAAUUAAAGCAAAACUUUCAACAACGGAUCUCUUGGUUCUGGCAUCGGUGAAGAACACAGC